AUUGAACGCUAGCGGCAUGCCUUACACAUGCAAGUCGAACGGAGCGGCGAACGGGUGAGUAAUGCAUAGGAAUGUGCCUAGUAGUGGGGGAUAACUACGGGAAAGCGUAGCUAAUACCGCAUACUAUUGGAUGGGCCGAGAUCGGAUUAGCUAGUUGGUGGGGUAACGGCCUACCAAGGCGACGAUCCGUAGCUGGUCUGAGAGGACGACCAGUCACACUGGAACUGAGACACGGCCCAGACUCCUACGGGAGGCAGCAGUGGGGAAUUUUGGACAAUGGGGGAAACCCUGAUCCAGCCAUCCCGCGUGUGCGAUGAAGGCCUUCGGGUUGUAAAGCACUUUUAGCAGGAAAGCGGUACCUGCAGAAUAAGCACCGGCUAACUUCGUGCCAGCAGCCGCGGUAAUUC
rnacentral:rRNA from 1 species